GCUGAGAUUACAGGCGCGCGCCACCAUGCCCAGCUAAUUUGUGUAUUUUUAGUAGAGACGGGGUUUCACCAUGUUGGCAAGGCUUGAACUCCUGACCUCGUGAUCCGCCCGCCUUGGCCUUCCAAAGUGCUGGGAUUACAUGCGUGAGCCACCGCGCCCGGCCUCACAAAAGUGUUUUUGAAGGCUCCAUUCCCGAAGACUGAGUGAGGUAUUCGAUAUCCUCCUCCCUCAUUGAAAAGUUGUGUAACAGGAAUCUAAGUUCAUGCCGUUUGAUUCCCAAGACUUCUCCAAGCCGCACUGUAGAGCAGGAAAAUCGACUAAUAUUACUGCUCAGAUUAUCAUCAUAGUGGCCAUUUAAGAUGGAAUGCGACAUCAAGGGUAAACUAGGCAUUGAAAAAUUCACUUUCAGACCUCCCUUCCGUGCCUCACUCUCCGGCCAGUCCUUUUCCCCAUUCGCCAUUCAGGCACUAAAAUUUUGCAGUUUGAGAAAAAGAAAAGUGAGGAAAACACAAGAGAAAAAACGCGAGGCUUUUCGGGUUCUUUUUUAUAUAUAGAAUAGCUUAUAUAGUCCAAUUUUAUUUUCUAAAUCGCCCCACACAUAAAACGUAUAACUCUAGCCAAGAUGAAGGAAAAAAGAAAUGUAAUAGUUGGGAGCAGAGAGAAAUAGCCAGCACCACCCCCCAGCGCAGAGCCGGGGCGCGGGGCCUCGGGUCGCCCCCUCCGGCUCCUCUGACCCGAGACUCGCCAGGUCUUGGACAUCCUCAGCCUGCGACACCGUUCCCAGGACGGCUCAUCACCUAUUAUCUCGGACUCCAGAUUUUGUGUAAAAAGCGUGAGGCUGCUCCUCAUUGACACCCACUUAGAAGUUGGUUGAUGAAGACUGCAGUGAGCACUCUCAGCAAGGGUAAAACUGGCACAUUUGGGCCUGAAAUGGGGUCCUCGGGGCCUGGUAGGCUCAAGUAUGCCCUUGGUAAUUUCCAGCUUACAGAGAAAAGAAGAGCGUUCACUUUGUUUCUGCUGGCAGGGUGAAAAGGGGCAGCUACGUGGCCAAAGGUGAGUGCUCAAGUUUGCAAGGGCCCAAGAUAAUAGGGACUCUGAUUUGGAGACUGCUGGAACUUGAGCAGUUUGUUCUCCACUUCUGGUCCUCUUGCCUCAGGUGUGCGGUUGCCUGGCCAACAGGAGGUGGGUCCUUUCUGUGCGCCCCAAGUGGUGCCAAGAGUGAUUCGCGCCACUUCCCGGGGGCAUGGAGGUUAAGCAAGGCCGGUAGGAAUGUUAGUGAAUCCUUGCUUGGGGGUCCGCACGGUUUUAUUUGUUUUGUUUUUCUGACUAGAUUCCAAAGUUGGUGAAUUUUUCUGCUCUGGGGUUACGGGGAACUCCCGGGGCGCAGUGUAGGGAAGGUCAAGGAAAACUACUGCUCUCCCAUAGGCGGUUGCUGUGUGUGAGUCACGUCUGGGCGUUUUAAAAUUGAACAUUGUUUUGCUCACUGUUUAGUUUUCUGAAAAGACCGUUUCUUAAACUAUUACAAUUCAGUUAUCUCCAUUAAGAUUGUAUUUCUGUUGCAAUAUAUAUUUAAUGUUUGGGCUUUAUAAAUGCUGUUUCCCUUAAGCAGCUCUCAGUCCUUUCUUUGGACCACAAUAAAAUACAGCUCUUAGAAAUCUUUGGUUUCCCUGGGUUCAUUUUCAUUGCGUGUUCCUCAUCCUGCCAGGUUACACGUUUUCCCUCACUGCGAACUGUCAGCCUUAUUCCGAGUAUAGCCACCACUGACUUCUGACCCUGGACGGUGUCAUUCACCGGGAACUCUUAACGUCUCCGGCCGAGAAAGGAGGGGACGGUAGCUAACUCUUUCGGCGGAGCUGAACCCCUACCCCCUCCCUCCUGUGACCCGAGCCUACUGCGAGACCUGGACACCGCCAAGUGGGGCAACGUUUCGCUCUUACAGCAGCUUCCCGACCUCUGCUAACUCCCAGGCCAUUUCAGAAGGCGCAAAGGGGAGAAGGAAAAGUUCAGAGAGCAAACGUUGCUCUCUAGCCUCCCCCAACCUCCAGUUCCUCUCUUCCUUCCCCUGCUGUCCAAACUUCAUACUGUCCACCAGGGGAGACUGCCCCCCGACUCGGCUGUCCCUCACUAACGCGGUGGUCCCCGACCUAGGGUCGCAGAUGCACUUCCCGAGGCACAUGCGGGCGCAACAAGGUAACUGCGCUCCAGGCGUGGAACCCCAGUCCUGAGCGAUGUGAAACCAACCCCAAGCGGGCUGUGCUCACAGUUUGGGAAAAGGUAAUGUCUCUGAUCCCCCCAUAUCCACCCCUCCCCCAACCCUUGAGGACAGAUUCGGGUACCGCAAAACCGCCAGGCACAGAAGGGAGGAGAGCUGGGACGGACAGGCUACUCCCGGGGAGGGGAUCACCUCCACGUUCCCGCUCCAAGCGGCUGGUAGCUGCUAGUAAUUCAGACUUCUGGCCUCGGAGGAAGAGUGCCAGGGAAGAAAGAGACUAAGAAAUCCUCAAACGCCCGUAGAACAAGACCCGGGAGAAGUGCCCAAGUGGGCGCGGCCGUCGGCGAGGUCAGUUUAGCCUGUACUGGACCGUGGAACCCUGAGCGCUGAGGCUGUGGGGUCGCGGGAUUCUACUGGGCCUCGCCAGCUUCCACAGUCUGCUGCGGUCUGUGGAAUGGGGAAGGAUAAAAUACAGACUUUGGUUUAUUUUAAAAAAUGGUAUUCUGCCUGAACUAUCAGGUCCAUGGUUUGCUUUUGGCGCUUGCAGAAGCACCAGGACGAUCUUUCCAAAAAUUUCUGCAGUAGUUUAAC
ensembl:lncRNA GSCAR glioma stem cell association long noncoding RNA